rnacentral:misc_RNA from 1 species
GUGAAUCUCCAGGAAAUUUCUUUCGGUUGGUUUCAUUUUUGAUUGAACAUUAAAAUGCCCCUCUAUAAACAACAUCAUCCCAAUUAUCAAUUAGUUGACGAAAAGCCAGUUAUGUCAACAGAGAAAAAGAUUGGGAAAUGGUAUUUCGGAGGUCUUUCUUCGGCUGGAGCUGUUUGUUGCACACAUCCUCUGGAUCUAAUUAAAGUCCAUUUGCAAACUUCUUCAACUGAAGGGGGAAGCAUUCUUCGGUCCACUGUGAAUAUCGUUAAAACUCAAGGUAUCCUUGCAAUGUAUAGUGGGUUAUCUGCUUCUUUGGUCCGACAGUUGACUUAUUCAACAACUCGAUUCGCUAUUUAUGAGGGUGCAAAGAAUCAAGUGGCACCCAACAAUGAAAAAAUUGGACUUUUAAAGAGGGUGUCCAUGUCUGCCUUUGCUGGUGCUUGUGGAGGGUUCAUUGGUACUCCCGGAGAUAUGGUUAAUGUUCGUAUGCAAAAUGACGUCAAGUUACCGCCAGAGCAACGAAGGAAUUACAAACAUGCCAUUGAUGGCUUGGUACGAGUAGCACGUGAAGAAGGCUUUAGAAAGUUAUUCAAUGGAGCGGAUUUGGCCACAGCUCGUGCCGUCUUUGUGACAACGGGACAGCUUUGCUUCUACGAUGUCGUCAAGGAACAACUUCUUUCCUCGGGUUAUUUUCAAGAUAAUUUGACGGCACAUUUUACGAGUUCCCUGGCUGCGGGAGCUAUUGCAACAACGCUCACACAGCCAUUGGACGUACUUAAAACCCGUGCAAUGAACUCCAAACCUGGAGAUUUCAAAGGACCUAUUGAUUUAUUAACAUUCACUGCUAAACAAGGACCCAUGGCUUUUUACAAAGGCUACAUUCCUGCAUUUCUACGUCUGGGUCCUCAAACCAUCAUUACUUUUAUGAUUUUGGAGCAACUUAAAGCCAACUUUGGAGUUCUUCCGAAUACCAAGAAAUAGAAUUAUUUCAGCUUUUUUAUAUUGUUCAUUACGUCUAGUGCCUCACACAAUCACUUUUAUUGAUAUAUCUCAAAAUCCUGCGCACAAUAAUUUGUAUUUUUCUCUCUGUCACCCAUUCCUAUAUGUCUAUUAUUUGUUCUGGCUUUCACAAUAUAAACAAGGAACUGAUUAGUGAUUUGAAUUAUGCCGUUCAAGACUUAAAUGAUUAAAGCCAUUCAUUAUAUUCUUGUAAGCAUAGUUAUAUAAUAUUAUUAUUUGCAGUAUUAUGUUUCGUAUUCACAUACUAUUUUUGCCUUUUUCUGUUGUUGUUGUUUUUUUCAAAUGCUUUUGGGUGUGAUUUAUAAAAAUAGACCUUGUUACGUCCAGUUACACAUAUUUUGAUAUUCUAUAUAACAUUGAUAUAUGUAUAUUUUUUUCUAUUGAGAGUUCUACAUGUCUUUAAAAAUAGCAAUGCUUCUCAGAUACGCAUCACUGUAACUAUUAUUUACUAAGGUAUACUUUAAGUUGAAUAUUAAUAUACAUAGUUACAUUA